rnacentral:rRNA from 1 species
AAUAUGGAGAGUUUGAUCCUGGCUCAGAGUGAACGCUGGCGGCGUGCCUAAUACAUGCAAGUCGAACGGAGAUAUAAGAGAGCU